GGCGGCGUGCUUAACACAUGCAAGUCGAGCGAGGAACUUCGGUUCCUAGCGGCGAACGGGUGAGUAACACGUGGGCAACCUGCCCCGAGCUCUGGGAUAACUUCGGGAAACCGGGGCUAAUACCGGAUAUGACACUACUGGACAUCUGGUGGUGUGGAAAGAUUUAUCGGCUUGGGAUGGGCCCGCGGCCUAUCAGCUUGUUGGUGGGGUAACGGCCUACCAAGGCGACGACGGGUAGCCGGCCUGAGAGGGCGAUCGGCCACACUGGGACUGAGACACGGCCCAGACUCCUACGGGAGGCAGCAGUGGGGAAUAUUGCGCAAUGGGCGGAAGCCUGACGCAGCGACGCCGCGUGGGGGAUGAAGGCC
rnacentral:rRNA from 1 species